rfam:Fervidicella metallireducens AeB contig00132, whole genome shotgun sequence.
UCCACCGUGAGGUGGAAUCUGAAGGAAGUCGGCGCCAAAGCUCUGGUCUGACGAAAAGAAACUAUAUCUAAAGGACGUAUAAGUUUUGUUCAAAGAAUUAAUGGUAUAUCCAUUAAAAGGAAAAAUAAAUUAUGGAACAGAUAUAUAAAGGAUAAUGGA